rnacentral:rRNA from 1 species
CCUACGGGAGGUAGCAGUGGGGAAUAUUGGGCAAUGGGCGCAAGCCUGACCCAGCAACGCCGCGUGAAGGAAGAAGGCUUUCGGGUUGUAACCUUCUUUUCUGAGGGACGAAGAAAAUGACGGUACCUCAGGAAUAAGCAACGGCUAACUACGUGCCAUCAGCCGCGGUAAUACGUGGGGGCAAAGCGUUAUCCGGAUUUAUUGGGUGUAAAGGGCGUGUAGGCAGAAAAGCAAGUCAGAUGGGAAAACUCAGGGCUCAACCCUGAGCAUGCAUGUGAAACUUUUUUUCUUGAGUGCUGGAGAGGCAAUCGGAAUUCCGUGUGUAGCGGUGAAAUGCGUAGAUAUACGGAGGAACACCAGUGGCGAAGGCGGAUUGCUGGACAGUAACUGACGCUGAGGCGCGAAAGCGUGGGGAGCAAACAGGAUUAGAUACCCCUGUAGUC